rnacentral:rRNA from 1 species
UACGUAGGGGGCUAGCGUUGUCCGGAAUCAUUGGGCGUAAAGAGCGCGUAGGCGGCCAGAUAAGUCCGGUGUGAAAGUCACAGGCUCAACCUGUGAAUGCCGCUGGAAACUGUCUGGCUAGAGUCCGGAAGGGGCGAGUGGAAUUCCUGGUUUAGCGGUGAAAUGCGCAGAUAUCAGGAGGAACACCAAUGGCGAAGGCAGCUCGCUGGGACGGUACUGACGCUGAGGCGCGAAAGCGUGGGGAGCAAACAGG